UAGUAUUGGACUAAAAAGACCCUAGGAUAGGUUGAAUUGAUACUUGAGGGUCGACCAUUUGUAGGACAAGAUUGAAAUCCCACCCCUAGCUACUAAAAUGGUUGCAUAGGAUAAAAUAUAAAGACAUUUGGAGAUUGACAAGUAAAAUAGGAGAGCUAGCUUUAAGCUUGCUUCAAAAGCAUAAGGCUUAUUGUUAUAAGAUUUGAGAUGACUUUCCAAUUAUUGUUUAAAGUUAAGGUUUCUAUUAGUGACUUUGGAUUUAUGGAAUAUAAUUAGGACUAAUAUUCUAGGUUAGUUUGUACAAUUAAUAUCACAUCUAUGAUUUAAAAUUUAAUAAUACUUGGUUGUUUGAGUAUGCUAAGUAUGCAUAAAAACUUGUAUUAAUCCAAUAUUGCAGUUGAAAGAUAUUUGGUUUUUGAUACAAAAAGAUAUUGAAAGUUGGCAGUUUGAGGUGAGGUAGAAUUUCUAUGAUAUCUAAAUAUUUACUAAUUGAAACAAUGUGAAAUUUGAAAAAGUAUUAAAAGACUUGAAGAUCAAGCAACAGACCAAUUUUGAGCUAAAGUUAAUAGUUUAAAAAAGAGAAAUCUCUAUUAUAACAUCUACAUCAACCUUUGAAUUGAUAGCCGAGUAACAUCAAUGCAUUUUUUUAGAUGAUUUUUCAUAAUUUAUAAGUUGGAUUAAAUUGAAUAUUUUAAGUAUGUAAAAGAUUUAUAGUAAUAUUUGUAUGUAAAAUUUUUUACUUAGUAGAUAGUCAGAUUAAAAGUUACAAAUUACUAAUACUCAUUGAUUAAGAUUAGGGCUUAUAAAGAAAAAUCAAAAUUACCUAAUUAUAAAAGUUAUAAGGAAAUUGGACUGAAAAGAAUAUUUUUGAAUACUUUGUAUUGAGUUUAAGUACUUUUGAAUUGAUAUUAGACUUGAAUUCUUUUUAUAUAUAUGAAACCUAUUA
rnacentral:lncRNA from 1 species